rnacentral:rRNA from 1 species
GAUGAACGCUGGCGGCGUGCCUAAUACAUGCAAGUCGAGCGAACAGACGAGGAGCUUGCUCCUCUGACGUUAGCGGCGGACGGGUGAGUAACACGUGGAUAACCUACCUAUAAGACUGGGAUAACUUCGGGAAACCGGAGCUAAUACCGGAUAAUAUAUUGAACCGCAUGGUUCAAUAGUGAAAGACGGUUUUGCUGUCACUUAUAGAUGGAUCCGCGCCGCAUUAGCUAGUUGGUAAGGUAACGGCUUACCAAGGCAACGAUGCGUAGCCGACCUGAGAGGGUGAUCGGCCACACUGGAACUGAGAAACGGUCCAGACUCCUACGGGAGGCAGCAGUAGGGAAUCUUCCGCAAUGGGCGAAAGCCUGACGGAGCAACGCCGCGUGAGUGAUGAAGGUCUUCGGAUCGUAAAACGCUGUUAUUAGGGAAGAACAAAUGUGUAAGUAACUAUGCACGUCUUGACGGUACCUAAGCAGAAAGCCACGGCUAACUACGU